rnacentral:rRNA from 1 species
UGGGGAAUAUUGGACAAUGGGCGAAAGCCUGAUCCAGCGACGCCGCGUGGGUGAAGAAGGCCUGCGGGUUGUAAAGCCCUUUCGGUGGGGAAGAAAAGCCUCGAGUUAACACCUCGGGGUCUUGACGUAACCCAUAGAAGAAGCACCGGCUAACUCUGUGCCAGCAGCCGCGGUAAUACAGAGGGUGCGAGCGUUAAUCGGAAUUACUGGGCGUAAAGCGCGCGUAGGCGGCUUUGCAAGUCGGGUGUGAAAUCCCCAGGCUUAACCUGGGAACUGCAUUCGAGACUGCAUUGCUAGAGUAUGGGAGAGGGAAGUGGAAUUUCCGGUGUAGCGGUGAAAUGCGUAGAUAUCGGAAGGAACAUCAGUGGCGAAAGCGACUUCCUGGACCAAUACUGACGCUCAUGUGCGAAAGCGUGGGGAGCAAACA